CUCUAUUUCGCAAAAAUGCAAUAAUUAUAAGAAUUACACAGCAAACGCAUGGAGAAUACUUUCAUGAAACAUGCCGUGUGUUUCGACUUCGGAUGCGUCAAUGGUUCGGCGGUUUCAGGGUAUUCGAGACUUCUUAUAGCCCGCGUUAAUGCCGAUUUCACCGAUUACAGGGAGGAGGGGGGUGGUUCGCAGUCGGUGCGCGCAUUCAAAUUAUCCCCAGAUUGCCGCCAAAACGUGUGAUUGGUCAGUGUCAAAUAGCUGCAAAAGGAGCGGGAAAAGUAGUUUGUUCAACAGACUGUAGAGACGCUAGUGUUUGUUAUGGUUUGUUGUGAUAAAAAACGUUCAUUCCGUCGCAUGCUCAUCCCACAAUUAUUUUAUUUUGCCGAAUUAUUUUUGUGUUAUUUCAAUUCAGUACAUGUAGUCUUGAGAUAUAUGUGAAUAGUGUUGCUUCACAAUUCAUCAGCAGCAGAAUCGGAGCUCUUCGGAGGUAAUGGUGCUACCUACGAUCAAAGCCUACGAUUUUGUUUUCAUCUCGCCGUCCCCUGAGUCUGACUCGGCGAUUCCCCGACUGUUCGAAUUCCACGAGGCUUCUUUUGCGCCCAAUUGCCAAUCUAAUCCAAUUUCAGGAUGAUCACAAAUCAAGAAUGCCUGUACCUGACGUCGACAGGGAAACUACAACAAAUAGACAUGGGUGGACAAAACAGCGAUAUUGCUUUCAGCAGAUGAAAAAACCUUGUUUUCUUUCAUUGACCAACAAGCGUUGUCAAGAACAAAAUGGAUGACAGGACAGUGUUGCCCCACAGACAUAACAGUUCCCUUUUACUCUUCGCAAUGGAGAUUUUACUCUGGAAAAACUCUACUACAAGCCUGUCAAAAUACCUUGCUUCUGCCAUAUUAUGGAUUACUCAGUGGAGUUUCUUCGAAAGGAAUGGUACUCCCCAGUGUUGUUAUCGGGAAAAAUUUGAAAUGGGCUAGUUGUGCUGAACGCAGAGUUGUUUCCGUGUUGUUGAAGCUCAGAGGUAAGCAAAGAAUGAUGAGUACCCCCCCCCCCCCCAAAAAAAAGUGAUGAGAUCAGUUGGAUUACAUUUAGUAAAAAAGAAACCUGCAUGAUUGCAGUGUUGUAAAAAUGUUGCUUCUUCUUAAUUAUCGAAAAAAGUCUCUCAGAAUAGCAAAUAGUUUUUUCUUCGCACCAGAUAAUUGUUAACUUUAAAGAAAAAGAAUUGUAUAGAUUUGAAAAUUGUGUGUAUCUGAAGUAUUUUCAAAAGAAAAGAAGUAGUUGCACAGUUUAAAAAAAACUGUAAUUGCGCUGGUUCCUUUCGCUAAAUGCGAUCCAGUUUAAAGACAUAGCCUCUACUCCGAUUAUUUGUGUUUGAAAAAUAUUUAGAUGACAUGGAUUACAUUUUGCAAGAAGGAACCAUGAACAUUCCAAUGUCCCUAAGAUUGUGCAACUUUUCUUACCUUGCAAAUAUAAAUUAAUCAUCUAAACUAGUUUUAUUUUUAUCCUCAAUAAACUAUAUCUUCAAGACAAAAACUG
rnacentral:lncRNA from 1 species